rnacentral:rRNA from 1 species
AUUGAACGCUGGCGGCAGGCCUAACACAUGCAAGUCGAACGAGUGGCGGACGGGUGAGUAAUGUCUGGGAAACUGCCUGAUGGAGGGGGAUAACUACUGGAACCGGUAGCUAAUCCCGCAUACCAUCAGAUGUGCCCAGAUGGGAUGAGCUAGUUGCUGGGGUAACGGCUCACCAAGGCGACGAUCCCUAGCCGGGCUGAGAGGAUGACCGGCCAAACUGGAACUGAGACACGGCCCAGCCUCCUACGGGAGGCAGCAGUGGGGAAGAUUGCGCAAGGGGCGCAAGCCUGAUAGAGCCAUGCCGCGUGUAUGAAGAAGGGCUUAGGGUUGUAAAGUACUUUCAGUGUGGAGGCGUUACCCGCAGAAGAAGCACCGGCUAACUCCGUGCCAGCAGCCGCGGUAAUAC